GGCACGCGGCAGUUCCUGAGCUUCGCGCCCCGAUGCUGGUGACGGGUGUGUCCAGUUGACGCGCCCGGGAUUAAGCUCCCUAGGAUCGGGCCUGCUUAGACCCCUCCCCCUCCAGCUGAGUGGGGCGAAUCGCCGCGGGAGUGGUUGCGCCCUGGGGGUGUCUCUAGCUUUCUUGGGUCAGCAGAGCAAGGAAGAACCAGGCCUGCAAUGAGUCAGAGAAGUAAAGAAGACAAACUAUAAGAAGAGAGCUGCCACUCCUGUCCAGAAUUUGCCGAGAGAUCAUUCGGUGUCAUUCUUUCAGCAUGGAUUACAGUGUUGUGAUGCACUUCAGAAAAUCUACUGACAUUGCUGCAUUGUGUGGAACAUCUGCCCUUUUCUUUCAAAUAUAGAUCUCACUGACAAAGGCACAAUUAAUGUAAACUUCUUCCUGUAAUGACUGGGAUCCCUUUGGAAUUGAUCCAGGGACUGUUGUAUGUAGAAUAUUGCUGUCUAGGUAUUCUUUUGUGUGUAAGGUGAAGGGAAACAAUAACACCCAUUCUCCAUGGGCUGUCCUGGUUGCAGAAAAAAUUGUGGAUUCAAUUCAACAUCUCAUUGAAGUAAUCCUUUUUCUGGGCCCAAGGUGUAUAGCUGUGCCUAUUCCUAUUGCCCUCCAAGCCUGCUGUUCUUAACUUUAAGGGCUUUCACAACUGUGCCCCUCCUUACUUGUCUGCUCUUAUAUCUUGUGUCCUUUCCCUGCUUCACCAGUGAUGACAGAUUUGACCCCUUGUUUGUCUCCAUCUCAAACAAAUAAUUUUAUACUUUAACCUCUAUCCCUUAUGCAUGCAACAGUCUCACAGAACUAGUCUGUAAAGCCCCAGCCCUCUCCCCAUUUAAAUCCCUCCCCAAGACUUAUUUCUACCAUGAUGGCUACCGGAAAUUGCCAGAUGAUAAUCACUAGGUGGAUGCCAGUGGGGAUUGCUGAUAUUUAUUUAUAAAACAUUUUAAAACACAUGUAUAUGAUUUGGAACAUCAAGUUAAGCACAUAAUUAAGAACCUGUGUUGUCCACAAGCUAGCUAAUAUGCUCAUCCUCCCUCCGCCUCUGUUUCUUACAUGUGUGUCUUGUCAAAUUAAAUUGUAAGCUCUCCAGGGAAAGGGCUGUACACACAUAAUACCAGGCAUGUGUCCUUGUACAGGAUUCUGAGCCUGGUGGUUAGAAUAUUCACCAAGGAUGUGGGAGACCCAGUUCCCAUGUUCCAGUGAUGAUGUAAUUAUUUAUUUACAGUGCAGCAAUUUCAACAGGAGAGACUGAGGGAGCACUGCAUCAGAAUAGCCCAUAGCCCAGUGAUUAGAGUACACACCUGAGAGGUGGCAGAUCCCUCUUCAAAUCCCUUUUCCUGCUCAGGCACAGGGGGGACUUGAAUGCAGGGUCUCCCACAUCUCAGGUGAGUACCCUAACUGCUGGGCUAAAAGUCCUUCACACACCCAGUUGGCAUCUUCCAUUGGCUAGCUUAGACAGAUCCCUGCCUAGCAUGAUUUUGUGAAUCGUUCCAAGGUGCCAGUCUUUCCCCAUGCAUUGUAUAGGGAGCCUAAGAGCUUAACUUAGGGUUUGUGAAUUCCAGUGAUUUUCUAGACAUCUAAAAGUUAGGUGCUGUGACACUCAGCGCUGCAAUGCCUAACUCCUUUUGUGCAUCCUGGCCUCUGCGACUGUCUUCAAGACUUGUUAGGAUCUGUUCGCCUUUGAUGGCUUGGCCUCCUUUUUUGCAUUUCUUUUUUGGCUUGGCUUUUGUUUUUGAUGACAGAUUGGCUUGUUCUUUCUGGGCCACUGGAGGCAGUUCUCUGUUUUGUCAUCAUUAUCCUAGCCUGUGUAAGAGGGCCAGUGAUGUGAUGAGCACCAUACAAAUAAAACCAAACCUCUGAUUUUUAUGAUAAUCAAGUUGUACUAGUUAAUGGUGUUAAAUGAGGACAUUGCAAUUACAUGCAGUGGAUAUAUAGUAUUCCCUUCUAUAGACGAUUUAAGCUUUUAUUAGUUCAAAACUCUAAUGAGGCCUACAGAAUAAAACAACCCAAAGCAGUAUGUUGAUGUCAGACAC